GAGUGGGUGCGCGGCGGUGGCGCGGGUGCCUGGGAGGCGACCGGAUCCACGUUCAAGGCCUGGCUCACCUC
rnacentral:tRNA from 1 species